rnacentral:rRNA from 1 species
UACGUAGGGUGCAAGCGUUGUCCGGAAUUAUUGGGCGUAAAGGGCUCGUAGGCGGUCCAUCGCGUCGGGAGUGAAAAGCUGGGGCUUAACCCCAGUCCUGCUUCCGAUACGGGUGGACUAGAGGUAGGUAGGGGAGAUCGGAAUUCCUGGUGUAGCGGUGAAAUGCGCAGAUAUCAGGAGGAACACCGGUGGCGAAGGCGGAUCUCUGGGCCUUACCUGACGCUGAGACGCGAAAGCGUGGGGAGCGAACAGG